UAAAAAGGGACAAAAUGACAGCUGUCAGCGUAUGUUGAGGACACUUUUGUCAGCUAAAUGUUAGCAAACGUGUAAGCGACUUGAUAUUGUUCACUUUUGCAUACGUUAAAAAAUAGGACUCUCUUGCUCUUGCAAAACUCUUGCACGGUGCACGUAUUGCACGAAGUUUAGAAUUUUCCAAUUAUUGCCACGACACAACAACAUGUUUAUUUUUAUGCAAUAACACCUAAAAAAACAAUUACAAUCCUCUAGUAGCUAGCAUUUUGCAUAAAUAAAGACACAUUUCGCCGUUAAAUUGUUGAGUAAAUUUUUGUUAAUAAUAAAUACUGAAUGUGCGCCUGCAGCGAAGAGGAAAAGGCAGCAGCCAAACCAGAAGUGGAAGUAAUGGAAGAGGCGAAAUUUGAGGCUCCAACUGCGCACUUGUUUUAGAAACGAUUCUUUACUAAUUGAAGUUGCAUGCCUUAUAAGAUCUGGUGUAGUGGAGAGUACGGCAUUACCGUAAAGCCAAUGAUUGGCUCGCGUCAACUGGUACAAGCCAUCAUGACGAAGCUGACGAUAGAACCAACGAAGGUUAAUAUGAUAUUGUAUUAACAUUUUUAAUAAUUGCAGCAAAAAUUGCUAAAUUGUGUUUCUAUUACAAGGUUCGCCAAUUCACAAUAACCAUGCACAGUAGUAAUUUACAAUAAAUUGACCGAAUCAGCCGUUCA
rnacentral:lncRNA from 1 species